rnacentral:pre_miRNA from 1 species
GGCGCGUCUCGCCCCCCUCAGUCACCAAGCCCGAGUUACCUCAGAAAUCGGCUCUGGGUCUGUGGGGAGCGAAACAUGCAA